AGAGAAGAUCACCGUUUAUACUCACAGCUCUGGGGGCCGCAGGACUCGUAGGAGCAGGACUUGUCGGUGCAGGAGUGGUCGGGCUUGCAGGAGCAGGACUUGUGGGGGCAGGACUCGGAGCUAAAGCCGGAUUUGCAGCAGGAGCCUUGACGGGAGCUGCGGCCAGGUCCUAUGGGGGUGCUUACUAUUACAGCAACUAUGAACCAAGGAACUACGAGUACAGAGCCAAUUUACGAGUACGAGUGUAGCAGGUGUGGACGCACCGUAUAGUUUUAGUAUAAAUAAAUUAAUUAAAACUA